rnacentral:lncRNA from 1 species
GUUUUUGUAAAAAUAAGAUUGUAAAAUAAUUGGAUUAUAUAUCAACUAAAACAGAACAAAACAAUUAUGGCGACGUUGCGGAGAAUUAUCCGCUCUCAAUAAAUACAAAACAAUUUUGGGACAAUUUUGGGACAAGUGUGAAUCCUGCCACGGCGCGUUCGAGCUGCAGAUGUCGCCUGCCCGUGAUAACAACCGAAUAACAGCAACUCGUGAAAAAGAGAGAACAGCAACAGCGCUACUGCAUUGCGCCACCGAACCGGAAUAAGUACCCGGAAUAGAAACUCCCUUCGCAAUCACGCCACCCAACCGGAAUAAGUACCCGAAUAACACGACCCCGAUAAAUACGGAAACGGAGGGGACGGACCAAAGAACGAAUUCGAUUCCCCCCGCCAUUAACGAGAUUCUUCGAAGGAAACCGAACCCCCCGGUUUGUAGCGAAGAGGAAAGGAGCUCGGAGGCGACGAUUCUGCUGCUGCUGCUUCUUCCUCGGCACUGGCGAUGUGAUCGCCGGGGAGAAGAACGCUCGGAGCUCCGGCGAAGGGGAGGGGAAUCGGGAGAUGUGAGCUCCGGGGGGCGGCGGCGGGGGCGGUGG